rnacentral:rRNA from 1 species
GAUGAACGCUGGCGGCGUGCUUAACACAUGCAAGUCGAACGGAAAGGCUCCUGCUUGCAGGGGUACUCGAGUGGCGAACGGGUGAGUAACACGUGGGUGAUCUGCCCUUCACUUCGGGAUAAGCUUAGGAAACUGGGGCUAAUACCGGAUAGGAGCAUCGGCUGCAUGGCAUGGUGGAGAGUUUUUCGGCGGGGGAUGAUCUAGCGGCGUAUCAGCUUGUUGGUGGGGUAGUGGCUUACCAAGGCGUCGACGGGUAGCCGGCCUGAGAGGGUGUACGGCCACAUUGGGACUGAGAUACGGCCCAGACUCCUACGGGAGGCAGCAGUGGGGAAUAUUGCACAAUGGGCGCAAGCCUGAUGCAGCGACGCCGCGUGGGGGAUGACGGCCUUCGGGUUGUAAACUCCUUUCGCUUGGGACGAAGCGUAAGUGACGGUAACUGGAGAAGAAGCACCGGCUAACUACGUG